GGAAUUUUGGACAAUGGGCGCAAGCCUGAUCCAGCCAUGCCGCGUGAGUGAAGAAGGCCUUAGGGUUGUAAAGCUCUUUCGGCGGGGACGAUGAUGACGGUACCCGCAGAAGAAGCCCCGGCUAACUCCGUGCCAGCAGCCGCGGUAAUACGGAGGGGGCAAGCGUUGUUCGGAGUUACUGGGCGUAAAGGGCGCGUAGGCGGUGCGACAAGUCAGGCGUGAAAGCCCCGGGCUUAACCUGGGAAUUGCGCUUGAUACUGUCGCGCUAGAGAUCGGGAGAGGAUGGCGGAAUUCCCAGUGCAGAGGUGAAAUUCGUAGAUAUUGGGAAGAACACCGGUGGCGAAGGCGGCCAUCUGGACCGUAUCUGACGCUGAGGCGCGAAAGCGUGGGGAGCAAA
rnacentral:rRNA from 1 species